AGGGAAUAUUGCGCAAUGGAGGAAACUCUGACGCAGCGAUGCCGCGUGAGUGAGGAAGGUCUUCGGAUUGUAAAGCUCUGUCGUUAGGGAAAAAUUUUGAUGGUACCUAACAAGAAAGCACCGGCUAACUUCGUGCCAGCAGCCGCGGUAAUACGAAGGGUGCAAGCGUUGUUCGGAUUUACUGGGCGUAAAGAGCGAGCAGGCGGUUAGAUAAGUUAGAUGUGAAAGCCCUGGGCUUAACCCAGGAAUUGCGUUUAAAACUGUCUAGCUAGAAUAAAAGAGAGGAAAGGGGAAUUUCACAUGUAGGGGUAAUAUCCGUAGAUAUGUGAAGGAACACCGGAGGCGAAGGCGCCUUUCUGGCUUUUUAUUGACGCUGAGUCGCGAAAGCGUGGGGAGCAAAC
rnacentral:rRNA from 1 species